GCGCCUAAUGACAGGGAAGUCAGACAACUCAUUAGCCAUGGCUCUGCAAAGAGAAGCUAUAGGAAGGAAAUCAAACAGAUCCCUAAGCAAGGGUGCUGUGCAUCCAGCCCUAAGUUUGAUGUAACCAGAUCUCUGGUGACAAGGGUUGGGAAGAUCAGCCUAUAUCCACCCUGUUUUAUUUUUGCUGGCACUCAACAAUAGGCAGAAAUAAGAAGCAAGGCUCAGCAACAGAUAUAGCUGUGCUUCAUAAUAUUAUAUGGGUGGGAGGCGAUCAUUAAAAUGAGAGUCAAAUAUCCAAGUCUCACAAUAAAUUUAAAAGAAUUUGGAAAGUUUAGAAACUGGCUUGAGUGAAGAUAGUUAAUUCCUCUUGUUAUAUAAUACAGAUAGUUGGGGUUUUUGUUUGUUCUACAGAGCAGGCUAUGGGAAUGAGACUUAAAUCAUCAAAGAACAGCCCCCCAAAAGUAGACUCUUUGUUAUCUUUCUGCCUAAAUGGGGAAAAAAGCCAUUUUGCUUCUCAUAUGUCACUUUACAAACAAGAGAUAAAUUUGAGAAACAAGGGAGGAAAACAAAUUCAGUAUUUUUUGGGAAACUGUUUCCCAUUAUAUAUGGCACCCAGUGUGCGUUGGGGGGAAAGUUUAAUGAUAGUGAAUACGAAUGAUGCACAGGCUAAGUUUUCAUAAACAGUUAAUGAGGUAAUGAACUUGUAGCUUGACUCUAUCACUUCAGAUUGUAGGUGAGGGUUCACAGGAUGGCAUGCAACUCACGGGGAAAUAAAUCCAAGCCAUUGAAAUCUAGCACGUCAGGAAGAAGGCCAGAGGUGAACUGUUAUGAUAUCUGGUUUUCUGUGGACAUGGUAUGUUUUCUUUUCGUAUGGGUGAACAUUCAGUCAUGAGUCAGGACUCUAGGCAAUCUGAAGUGAAAAGGGCAGACAGAGAUUUAGCACCUCACUUGCUGUUUAUGAUAACUGGAUUUCAGAGCAUGGGUGAAGAACCCGUGGCCCUUCAAAUGAUACUGACCUAUCACUCCUGACUAGUGGUGAUGCUGGCUAGGGAUAAUGGGAGCAGAGGUGGUUUUAGGGUAGCAUGACUGGUUUGGCCGCACUGGGCACAGGUGCCACUGCAGGUGACGAAACAAUGUUAUAGAGUGGAGUGUGAGAGGCUAGGAGGUGCUGAAUUUUAGUGUCACACAGGGUGCCACUGAAAUUUGAGAGCCCAAAGCCUGCCACUGAUGGGAGGUAGAUUCCAAUGUCAUCUCGAGGGCACAUAUUCUCCACUCCUGUUUUAGAGUCUAUACAGAUAGCUGGACUAUAUUUUACAGGAGGAUGGGGCCAGGCCUCAGAGGUCCAAGAGCUCGGACUGCUUCCUGGUUUUGUUUAAUUUAUUAUGAUGAUGAUGAUGAUACACAGAAACAAAAUAAGGCACUUUUAACUCUUUGACAUCACAUAAUCUAUAUUAUUUAACAAAAAUCACAUCUUUUAUCAAAUCACAUCCCUUAUUUGCUUCAGUUUGUAGCUCUUAAGCUGAGAGACUGCGUCACAAUUUGGUCCCACUAAUAAUCAGUUGCAAAUACCAAAAAAGGGUUAAUUUUUUUGGGGGGGAGGUCUUAAACUUGACACCCCAGGGCCAAACGGCCUUCCCAGUCCUUCCGCUGAUUGGCCCUGCUUGGAACAAGUCAUGAGAGCCAUUUUAAACGUCAUCCUUUAGGUCUGGUGACAAAUCAAUAAUGUGAGGCACAGUGUGUUGAAAAACCUUGACAAAUUGCCAUCACAACUCAGCAGCAUUUGCCAAGUGAUGCUGUGCUACAGCAAUGGUACGGCUGUUGAUGUGGCAAAUUUCACUACGCUUAGGGAUAGUUGUGAAGCCUGCCUGAGGAAGCUUGCAGGUCAGGCUGUUGACUCAUUUAGCUUCCACUGAAGUUUUUUGGGAUAUUGUGCUUAGGCAGGAAUAACUGGAUCUGGGCUCCGCUGUGGGAGAACAUUAGGGGCCACUCUGAUUAUGACAUCCAGGAAGAGCCGGGGGGUAAAAAUGGGAGGUUUUGUGAAGUAUGCUGACCUGUAUCCUUGAUCUGCACUUAGAUCUGGCUUCUGUGUGCAUUGAUCUGCCAGCACGUCUAUUAACCUUCUAUUAACCUCCCAGCCUUAGCUACAUCCUAGUAGGCAAACUGUUUCUUUUGAGCAACGGCAAGGAGGAGCCUGCCCAGAUGGCAUAGCUGGAAAGCCUUCUCAGCAUGAGGGCCAGGUACUGAUUGUCCUGGAACUUCACAAAUCAUUAGAGGAUCCCCACUGCUGCCUUUCUCAAAUCCCUAGCAUAUGUAGAUAUUCAGAGAUGACACAAUUAAUUAACAUAUAUUAUUGACAGCUGGAUCUGGGCCUCUCUGUUGCCAAAGGGGACGUGUGUUGUUUUUCAGCUGAAGAGCUGAGAGGGCAACUCACAAACAAACCUUUAUUCUAUGCUGUUCCUUCUCUAAAUGAAAUGCUGCACUGGCUUCAUCAGAUAUAAAGCUAUUUUAAAUCAACACUCAUGGCAGUUUGAUUGCUGUGUGACACUGUCCUCAGUGCUUCAUUCUAGAAGAGUGCCUGGCAACUAUUUCGGUUGUCGGGCCAUAUCUGUCACCUAUAUGAGAUCAAGUCUCAGCAGGAUUUCUCCCUCUUUCACUUUCUCUACACUCUUUUAUUGAUUUGAAAGUGUAUAAUUCACUAUUUCAUAAAAUAUACUGAGGUGUCUUACAAAAUAUAAAAUACAAUAAAACACACACACAUCUUUAAAACAUAAUACACAUCAGUAAAACAUCAGUAAAUACUUACUGGUUUAAAGAAAAAUUAAUAUUGUGAAAGCCUAUCUAAAUUUAUUUUAUUUAUUGAUUGAAUUUAUAUCCUGCCCUAAACCUGGGGGUCUCAAGGCUGUUCACAGAAUAAAAUCAAGAUAUAAAACC